rnacentral:lncRNA from 1 species
UCAUUUGCAUUAACUGAAAACCAUAACAACUUGCUAGAGUUUAUAGAAAAAAAAGGAAAUUAGUGCAAAGCAACAUAUCUACUCCACAUCACUUUCAACUCAAGUCUAAUACAACCCAACAAUUCACUAUAACUUCUCAAACUAUGACCAUAAAGACGACAUCACCUCUCCUUCCAUAAAUGACCCAACCUAAUCCGCCAAGCCAACCUCUUAUUUCUAUCCUCUACAGUAAUGCCCGAAAAAAUGAAAAAAAAAAUAUGCAACAUCUUCCACCCAAGACAGGGCAGAAACAUACAAUGAAAACAACUUACUCUUCACAACAUCUGCAUAGACACAAGGAACAAAUAAAUGGUCUAAAUCUUCAUCCGCUACACAAUAUAGAACACACCUUGGAUCAAC